AUUGAACGCUGGCGGCAGGCCUAACACAUGCAAGUCGAACGAGUGGCGGACGGGUGAGUAAUGUCUGGGAACCUGCCCGAUGGAGGGGGGUAACUACUGGAAACGGUAGCUAAUACCGCAUACCAUCGGAUGUGCCCAGAUGGGAUUCGCUAGUAGGUGGGGUAACGGCUCACCUAGGCGACGAUCCCUAGCUGUUCUGAGAGGAUGACAAGCCACACUGGAACUGAGACACGGUCCAGACUACUACGGGAUGCAGCAGUGGGGAAUAUUGCACAAUGGGCGAAAGCCUGAUGCAGCCAUGCCGCGUGUAUGAUGAAGGCCUUCGGGUGGGAAAGGACUUUCAGCGAGGAGGCGUUACUCGCAGAAGAAGCACCGGCUAACUCCGUGCCAGCCGCCGCGGUAAUUC
rnacentral:rRNA from 1 species